GCCAAACACAUGUACUUUAACUGUAUAAACACUAUUGACUCAUGAUUGACUCUUCAAUCUUGUUUUACCAGAUGUGAAAUAACAAGUUUCAUGGACUCACAGACAUUUUUCUAAAAUGUCUCGUCUUUUUUCCUUUCUCUUUCAGGGAUUACGACCGCAAAAUACCGUAAAUCUCCCUAAAUAUGCAGCGUGUCUCUCUGCUACCUUCCCACCUGUAUGCACUCUAAUCUGGGGUCAGCCCUGCAGAAAGGGGACGAGAUAGCGUGCGCCUCCACCAAAGACCCCCAUGGGGCCAGAGGAGACCUACGUUCCUUGGAACAGCACUGACGUGGCUCAACGUGAGGAAGAUCAUUGGUGGAAAAGAUUGUGGGUAUGCUAUAGAAAAUAUAUACUGUUGCAGUUCAACUUCCACUCUGUUGUUGCUCUUUUGCCAACAGGCCUGAGGAGUUGAUGCAGAGUCGGAACGAGACAGACAGAAACUCAACAUUACCUAUACACAGGUAGAACGGUCCUCCACUCCUUAUGGAUAUAAGGGAAAUAAAACGUCCAUUGCAUGAAUAUUAUGUAGCAGCGCCUCAAGGCUGCGUGGUGAGUCUGUGCCCUGGGCCAUAUACUGAACCAGGGCGGGGACGAGAGUGCAGGCGGGGCCACCCGAGACCCACAUGGCAACGGCAAGAGAUGAGAGGAAGUGUAACGUGGGGCCUCAUACAGGAGUUGCUGGCUGUGCUCUAUUGCUCUUAAGCCAUUACUUUUCUUUCUCUGCUUUCCUUUGCCAUCACUGAUCUGGAAGGACAAGAGGAUUGAGAGAAACGUUGAAAGAUUUAGUCACUCCACCUGCCCAUUGCUUAUGUGCAGCACUUGGUGAUGGAGGAGAGGACACAAUAGGAGAGAAGUUGUACAGAGGGUGUAAUUUGUGUGUGGUAAACCUAAAAAGUUGCUAUUUAUUAAAGACAUAUUAAUAAUUGUCUUAAUUAAUCACUUAAGAAAAGUAUGAAAUAUUUGUCAUUGUGUACCGCAGGGCCGGCUCCAGGCAUAAGCGACAUGCUGUCGUUUAGGGCCCCUGGCCCCCAGAGUCUCAACUGUUGAGAGUUAGAAUAUUAGAAUACACAAGACACAAGAUCGAAAUGUGAUCGUGCAGUCACUCAAUUAGCCAUGACAGCUAACAAUUUUUAGAUUGGUAAGUUAGUCUAGCCAGGUAUCUACAUUUGUAGUAAUCAUGGCCAAAUACCGACCCGGCAUGCAGGGCACGUAGCCAGGGGCCUGACCUCCAGAGGGACUCCAUUGAUUUUGUUAGUCACUCUCACUCAGAUAUAAUAAGUCAUGACAAAAUGUGUAGAAUUGCAGAAAAUUUGCUUUAAAACAGCACAUAGCCUGCUGUAUUUCCCUCUGCCCCAAGGCAAAAUGAGUAGAAUUGCAGAACAUUUGCUUUAAAACAGCACAUAGCCUGCUGUAUUUCCCUCUGCCCCAUGGCAAAAUGAGUAGAAUUGCAUAAAUGUUGUUAUAAUAUUGCAAAAUGUUCUCUCCGCCCCAUGGCAAUGUCUAGAACUGCAGGAAAUGUACCUUAAAACGUACAUUACUGUCUUAAAUGUAAAGGGUCCAGUGGUGUGGCGACAUAAACCUAUUGUUAAAAUGUUUGGAGAGGUUUCACGAGCGCGCCAUUACACCCUCACACAUUUUGGUGAAGGAAAAGUCAAACCUACAUCCCUUGAAAUUUCUCUUGCCCAUUUAAUGUGAUGGGGGAUUGUAUUGGUGCUGAAUUUAUCCAGAUAUUAAAAGGAUAUUGAAAAUAUUGAAUUGUUGUGGGUGACAGUUGCGCAUAACCUCAAUACGCAAGAAGGCUAGCUGGCUUUUGGGAAGAGCAGCAGACAUGGAUUCUCAAAAACAGGAGUUUUGGAAGGAGGCUAUUUUGAAAGAGUCAUUUGUUAGACUAAAUGGAUUUCAAAAGAAAAGAUGGGUGAAAAACGAGGGAUGAAACUGCCACAAAUCAACGAACCUGAACGUGAAGCCAAACUGGUGAAAACGCUGACCAAGAGAAGGUCACAAUUAGAAGCAGGUAUAAAGUAGAGAUGAGAAGGUGCUUGUUGAUGUGAUACGGCCGGCUUCGGGAGAAAUUCUAGCAACAUUGUAAAACCACUCAUCAUGGACUUGGAAUAUUUAAACGUUUUCUACUUUGAAAUAGCCAAAAUAAACAGGCACAUCACAUGCAAUGGUGUAUACUGAACAACUAUUCAGGGGGUAACAUCAUGGUCCUGCCCAGCUUUUAUCUUUACUACAGUCCAUCUCCAGUUGUCACGGUAACUGCCCCUGCUGUGCUCCCUCUGAAUGCAGGUGACAUGAACAAGGCCUUCGACCCGAUGUACGCACUCAACGCCAUUGUGAAAGAGAGCCUCUUCCGCAAGAACGGCAUCUUCCCUCGCUCUGCCACCUCAGACACAGUGGCGUGAGGGUGCCCACCGGAUCACACAGGCCCCAAGUGACAAUACAAACACACCACCAACAACCGCACUGGUUUUUAAUUUGUAUUCAUCCUAUUUUUGUGAAGACAGAAAUGAAGCUGCGAAAUAGAAUGUGUGAAAUAAAAGUGUGGUUCUGGGA